rnacentral:tRNA from 1 species
GGUGGUGAAACGGUUAAGCACUUGGCUGCCAACCAAAAAGUUGGUGGUUCAAAUCCACCUGCCACUC